rnacentral:rRNA from 1 species
UACGUAGGGUGCGAGCGUUAAUCGGAAUUACUGGGCGUAAAGCGUGCGCAGGCGGUUCGUUAUGUCCGAUGUGAAAUCCCCGGGCUCAACCUGGGAACUGCAUUUGUGACUGCAUCGCUGGAGUACGGCAGAGGGGGAUGGAAUUCCGCGUGUAGCAGUGAAAUGCGUAGAGAUGUGGAGGAACACCGAUGGCGAAGGCAGCCUCCUGGGCCAGCACUGACGCUCAUGCACGAAAGCGUGGGGAGCAAACAGG